rnacentral:rRNA from 1 species
GACGAACGCUGGCGGCGUGCUUAACACAUGCAAGUCGAACGGAAAGGCCCGGCUUUUGUGGGGUGCUCGAGUGGCGAACGGGGGAGUAACACGUGAGUAACCUGCCCUUGACUUUGGGAUAACUUCAGGAAACUGGGGCUAAUACCGGAUAGAAGCUCCUGCUGCAUGGUGGGGGUUAGAAAGUUUCGGCGGUUGGGGAUGGACUCGCGGCUUAUCCGCUUGAUGGUGGGGUAGUGGCUUACCAAGGCUUUGACGGGUAGCCGGCCUGAGAGGGGGACCGGCCACAUUGGGACUGAGAUACGGCCCAGACUCCUACGGGAGGCAGCAGUGGGGAAUAUUGCACAAUGGGCGGAAGCCUGAUGCAGCAACGCCGCGUGCGGGAUGACGGCCUUCGGGUUGUAAACCGCUUUCGCCUGUGACGAAGCGUGAGUGACGGUAAUGGGUAAAGAAGCACCGGCUAACUACGUG